AUUGAACGCUGGCGGCAUGCUUUACACAUGCAAGUCGAACGGCAGCGCGGGCUUCGGCCUGGCGGCGAGUGGCGAACGGGUGAGUAAUACAUCGGAACGUGCCCAGUAGUGGGGGAGAGCUCGGCGAAAGCCGGAUUAAUACCGCAUACGACCUGAGGGUGAAAGCGGGGGAUCUUCGGACCUCUCGCUAUUGGAGCGGCCGAUGGCAGAUUAGCUAGUUGGUGGGGUAAAGGCCUACCAAGGCGACGAUCGGUAGCUGGUCUGAGAGGACGACCAGCCACACUGGGACUGAGACACGGCCCAGACUCCUACGGGAGGCAGCAGUGGGGAAUUUUGGACAAUGGGCGAAAGCCUGAUCCAGCAAUGCCGCGUGUGUGAUGAAGGCCUUCGGGUUGUAAAGCACUUUUGGCGGGAACGAAAAGGACUGUGCCAAUACCACGGUUCGAUGACGGUACCCGCAGAAUAAGCACCGGCUAACUACGUG
rnacentral:rRNA from 1 species